AGAGUUAAAAAGUACGUGAAAUUGUUAAAAGGGAAACGCUUGAAAGCCAGUGACUUUUGAUAAUGGCCUGGGGAAUCAGUUGGUGGGGAGGGGGUUCCUUCUUCCUGCCGAUGCACUUACCCAGGUACAAGGCCAACAUCAGUUUCGUCUGCCGUAAAAAAGCCAAGAGAAGGUAGGUGUUAAUUCACUGUUAUAGCUCUGGCCGAUGCGGUGGAUGGGACUGAGGACUGCGGUGCAUGCCUUUGGCUGGGUUCGCGGCAGCUGUGUGGGACGGGGCUAUGGACAGCUUGCUGACUAUGGCUCUACUCUUAUGCAAUCUGUCGUACAACCACAAAUGCACCUAGGAUGUUGACGAAAUGGUUUUAAAUGACC
rnacentral:rRNA from 1 species